rfam:Camelus ferus unplaced genomic scaffold scaffold1078, whole genome shotgun sequence.
GAGGGUAUAGCUCAGUGGUAGAGUGUGUGUUUAGCAUACAUGGGGUCCUGGAUUCAAUCCCCAGUACCUCCA